GGUGCCCAGUUUAGCAGCACGUAGAAAAAUUGGAGUGACACAGAGAAGAUGAGCACAGCCCCUGCACAAGGACAAUGUGCAAGUUCAUGCGAUUGUCCGUACUCUG